GGCUGUUCCAUCCUCCAGAUGAGACUGUAGGAAGUGCACCCAAAUGGACUUCAGUUUGCUGUUUAUAAACAUACCCCUUGCAUCCAGGCAGUGCAACCAGGUAACCACUGAUCUUCAGCAUCCAGCUUCUCUGUUGGUGGCUGUUUGGGGAGUGGUGAGCUCCCUGGAGCUGUGCUAAUGGUUGAGACACUUUCCUUUAGUCCGCCAGCAGAGCCUACUGAAUCCUAAAUAUCAUCUAUUCUCCACAAAGUUCCAGAAGAAAGUUGGAAGGUCCCCUGAACCUAUAAUAUGGACAACACAGGCACACUCACAAGGCAACUCUUAACAGAAAGGAAGGCAUGACCAUGGAUCACCUGAUGUGUAACCAAGAUAUGACUGCCACCUGCAGAUUCCCAUGAGAGCAAGAGGGCAGAUCACCUUGAGUGUGUGGGACAAAGGCAAUGAGAACAUAAGUUUUCUGUGCAAAUUGGUAUCAGUACCAAAUUAUAUGGCAGGUCAGAGAGAAAAAAACUUCCUGAUUAAUUCAUUCACCUGCACACUGUUUCACUUAAAAGAAUCACCAAGUAUUUAUUUAAAGUCCUUUGCAUGUCAAUGGCUGUUUCAUAGUGAGAACUAAUCCUGCCUUUCAGGUGGUUCUAGUCUCAUGGAAGAAACACCAAAUCAAGUAAAUGAUUAAUUAAUUAAUUAGUUAAUUAAUUAAAUUUGUUUUGCAGUGUUGGCCUCAUUCCUACUGGGCUGACUUCUCCAUUUUUAUUUCAGACAGACAAAGAGAAGAAGACAAAGAAGAGGAGGAAGAAGAGGAGGGAUAGGGCUAAGUGUAGGGGGGAGAAGAAGGAGGAGGAGAGUCUACAGUAUUGCUUCAUUAUCCAUGGAACUUUCUCUGAUUUUUUUUUUUUAUUGUUGUAGUUACUAUUGUUGUUGUUGGAUAGGACAGAGAGAAACGGAGAGAGGAGGGGAAGACAGAGAGGGGGAGAGAAAGACAGACACCUGCAGACCUGCUUCACUGUCUGUGAAGGGACUCCCCUGCAGGUGGGGAGCCGGGGGCUCGAACUGGGAUCCUUCCGCUGGUCCCUGCGCUUUGCGCCACCUGCGCUUAACCCACUGUGCUACCACUCGGCUCCUGGAACUUUCUCUGAUUUUGUGGUGUUACUAUAUGGUGCCAGGAUUUGAAUCUGAGGUCUUGUCCCAGGUGUGUACUCUACUGGGCAAGAUAUUUCUCAGUGCCUCAAACAAACUUAGAUAUUAUGUUCCAAAUAUUUAUCCCCCAAAGAGGGAAGCUCCAUUCUUCCUUUCCUCUUAACUUCUUUCUUUCCUUCUUCCUUCCCUCCUUUGCUCUUUCACCAGCAUCUACUGGGGGACCUGUUAUGGAGACAGAAUAAUGCCCUUACCCUGUAUCUCCAGACCAGUCCCUGGCACCUGUGAUUACAUCAUUUUACUUGGCAAAAGGUACUUUGAAGGUGUGACAAGUUCUGGUUGUUAAGAUGGGGGAGAUGUCCCUGGUUGUGUGGGUGACGAGGAUGUUAGAGCUAGAAAAGUGAACAGGCCAAAGGGGUUGAGCUGUGUGGCCAGAGCUCAGGAGGGUGGUCAGACCCCAGGAGCUUGAGGCUGUCUUAGAAACUGGAAAUUAUCAUGUGCCCUGGAGAGACAAGUUGCUGUAGAAAUCUAAACAAUGAAAUAAAAAUAAGCUCAUGGUUGUUUUC